CAUCCCGAACUCGGAAGUUAAGACCCGAAGCGCUGAUGGUACUGCGGCUCAAGUCGUGGGAGAGUAAGUCACCGCCAGAC
rnacentral:rRNA from 1 species